ensembl:lncRNA
UCUAAACAAGGCUCAGUGUGACACACAGCUGUGUCUGAAUGCCGCAGACCCUGUGCCCAGCACACUGCCUCCUGUGGGCCUGCAGGCCAGGGCCUUUCCCUCAGUGCUUCUCCAGCCAGGAGGUCUCUGACAGUUUCUGUCAAGAUGGAAAAAGAAGGCACAAAUCUCGUUGUUACUAUCAGCCAUGCCCAUGCUUUAUAGAGCCUUGUAACUAGUUUGGAUCAAAGGUGUUUGUUUUCACUGCAGAGUUUACAGAGGCUGUGCCUUUAUUUAUCCCAGGACACCCUUAUAAAUGCUGGAGAGCAAGGCUCAGUUACUGCAAUCCCCUCCUAGAAGGAGUUCGCCGUAACUCAGCUUGUUCACGAGGCUCGCUUGCCGAUUUGACAGCUUGAGUGAUGUUGCUCCCACCUCGCUUUCCUUGAUUUUUGCCAGCAUUUGCAUCACGGGCCGCACGCUGUUCAUCUCUCCCUGCUGUCAUAGCAUGUCCCAAGCAGCCAUCUCGAAAGAAAUGCAGGCAGUGUGGAAAUGCUCCAUGAAAAUAUCCCUUCCUGAAACUCCCAACAGAGACAUUAAGUCCUCUGCAAGUCCCAGUGCCUCUCCAAGGAUAAGAGGGAAGGAUGGUGGGGUCUGUGGGUUUGUUUUCAUGUUACAAAAGCAGUAAGAGCACACAGGCUGCAGAAAGUGGAUACACACCACCACAUCUCUUAGAUCAGGAGCACUGCUGUUAUUCAGUACUACAUCCAAACGAAAUGGCUUUUAAGUAUUUGCUUCCUCCAACGAGUGAUGCCUUUCUAGGAUGUAUCAUCCACUUACCAAGCAGAACAAAAGGUUAUGUGAGCAGCUAAGGGCUGGGCCUGAAACUACAAAGAUCUAGAUAGCAAAAUAUAAUUUAAGAGAACUGCAAUGGCAUCUAGGCACAGAAACAGCACCUCUCCUAUGUCACGCAGAAAUUAAACCGCCUGCCUAAGAACUUACUGCUUCUAGGACUCCCAGACUAGCCAUUAUAAAUAGCAAACUUGUAAAUAGUUUGACAGCCUUCAGGGACUGCUGACCUUGAAUUCCCUUCAUAUGAGUAUAUCUAAAGAUUCUGCAAGCAAUCUGUGGUAAGCAACUCCUAUAUUUAUAAAACUUAUAGUAAUGGAUAAUGUAGCAGACCUGGCUUGGAAGCAGGUGCUGUCUUGACUGUUUUACUGUUCUCUAGAUGUAACAUGGGGAGGAAGGAAGAACCAUUAGUUCAUCCUUGCCCUUAAGGUACAUUGCUCCUACAAUGCUCCGACAAUUACCUUAAUGCUUUUUGUUUGUAAUCCAUUCAACCCCUCAGGACUCAUAAUCUAGUUCUUACUCCCAUGCUACAUGUAAAGAGAGGCAGAAUACUCAAAAGUAAAGCGACUUUUCAGCAUUAUUCCCAACCCCAGCUUCUGGAUCUAUGUGUCCCAGAUCCUUGGAGCUGUUUGUCUACCCUAAAUGUCAAAGAAUCAGACUCCUGCGAGCACUCCGCUCUUUGGGGACUCUCAGCUGCCGUUCAGAUGUCUGCAGGCAAGCAGCAGGGGAUGUGACCAGGGUGUGUUUCCCCUAUUUAAAGUGAACAUAAAGAAGCCCUCUGGGCUUGCUGACAAGUGCCAAGGACUGGAUCAUAGACCAGAAAACCUAGGCUUUGGAUCUCACGCUGACAUCUGUGCUUCUUUCCAGAUUUGCAUAAAGCAUCUCAGCUACUGACUUGAAAAAACACGAGCAAAUAUAACCAUGUAUGUCCACCCCAGAUGUUAAUUCUGAUUGUUAACAUACUUUGGGUCUUUCUCAUUACCUUAAAUAUUAUCAAGAUGUGUGGCUGGAAACUCCACUGAUGUAAACUGGAACAUUUCUAUCCAGUAAAACUACUGAUU